UAAUGUAUGGGGAUCUGCCCGAUAGAGGGGAAUAACUACUGGAAACGGUGGCUAAUACCGCAUAAUGUCCACGGACCAAAGCAGGGGCUCUUCGGACCUUGCACUAUCGGAUGAACCCAUAUGGGAUUAGCUAGUAGGUGGGGUAAAGGCUCACCUAGGCGACGAUCUCUAGCUGGUCUGAGAGGAUGAUCAGCCACACUGGGACUGAGACACGGCCCAG
rnacentral:rRNA from 1 species